GCUGUAGCUCAGUAGUAGAGCAUCAUCUUUGCAUGCAGAAGGUCCCAGGUUCAAGCAUCUGUUGGGAAUGUUCCCUGCCUGAAAUC